AGGGUUGGCCCUGCCUUUCCUCCAGAUGCUCUAUCACUGUUUCUGGCUCUGACUCAACCUUUGUACUAUAGCAGCCAAGCAUCUCUUGAUGAUCUUUGGUCUCUGUAGUUUUUUUAAUAGUGAAGAAGUAGGAAUAUGAAAAUGGAGCCGAGUAUAACAUAAAAGGUCUCCUCAGAGAUAAGCAGUGCCAACAGAACUCUACUCAAGCUGAUGUAGAGCUCAUUUUUCCAUAUUCUUUCCUAAGAGUCAAGUUCGGAUGCUGAUUGGACUUCAAAAUCCGUUCCUCUGCUUGCUUUGUGCCAAUUCCUGUUUUUGGAUUCAGGGGACAACCCUUAGGGUGAAGUUGUCAUGAAUUCAGCUACUCAGUUGUCAUCUUCACUGGAGCUGGUUGAGUCAUUCCCACAUGGGUAUAUGCUUGCCAAUUGAAGAUGAAAUGCCUACAUGAAUGUGCCAUAGUGUGAACAGCAGAAUCUUCCUGUAGUAAAGUCUGAAUACUUUGCGGGUGAUUCCUUUAUAUUAACCCUUAAGAGGAAAAGUAAAUAAUUAGUGGUGCCAUUAGUUGGCCCAGGGGAGGGGACCCUAACAAAAUAUUCCAGUCAGUUGUUCACAUCUGGCAAUUCUGUUUUCACUGGCAGAAGACAAUUAUCAUCCCAUGAGAGUGCAGCCAGGCUGUAAGUAGUAACUGUUGUGUAGCUUUUUCCAUGACUGGUUUUAGCAUAGAGGUAAUUAAUUUUAGUCACUGUAAUUAUAUUAUGCUCAUAGACUCUUUGCAAUAGGGAAAGUCCUUUUAUAUGUAUGUAUUCCGGUACUCAGUUCCAAUAGUAGCACCAAUACAGAGAGCACUUCAUAGUGUCAAGUGCUCUCUAAGUUCUUGUUUUACCUGUGUUCAUCUCUAAGCAUGUGGCAACUUCGUAGUUAAAACUUUGAAUCAUUUAGUUUUGUCUCUAUCCCAAAACUGCUAAGAGGGUAAUGCUAUAAGGAUGAGAAAAUCCCAAUAUACACCUCAAGCUUUCAUCAAUCUUCAUAAAUGGCAGCUGAUCAGUAGGUAAAGGGGCUGUAUUUUGAGAGGGGUGAGAAGCAGGUUUAAAAGAAAUAAAAUACUGACAGUAUGCUAAAUAGAGUUGUAAACAGUUCUCUUGCCUUCCCUUCCCCACCACGUUAUCUGGCUUCCAUUAAACUGAAAUGCU
ensembl:lncRNA